rnacentral:rRNA from 1 species
UGAGGAACAUGACCUUCGGCGGGGGAUAGCCGGCCCAACGGCCGGGUAAUACCGCGUACGACCUUUCGGGGACAUCCCCGGAUGGUGAAAGCAGCAAUGCGCCGAUGGAGUGCCUCGCGGCCUAUCAGCUAGUUGGUGAGGUAACGGCUCACCAAGGCAACGACGGGUAGCUGGUCUGAGAGGAUGGCCAGCCACAUUGGGACUGAGACACGGCCCAGACUCCUACGGGAGGNAGCG